CUAAAUCAAGAGGUUAUCUUCAGUGUGGGGAUUGCAAAAAGCCCCAUGUUUUCCUGUUAAGCCCUCUCAUCCCAGAUCAAACUAAGAGAAAAGAGUGCUGGAGAAUGGUAGGGAAUUUGAUUCACCCUCCCCUACCUGUCAAAAGGAAGGAGGAGGAAAGGACAGCAGCUACAUCGGGGCUCCACUGGCAAUGACCCCGGUCCCUGGGCACCCUGUAGCCCACCUAGAAAGCCUGGAAGUAUCACCGCCACCCCCAGCAGCUGUGGGGAGAGAGGAAAGUGAGAUGGGUCAAGGCAAUAUGAGAUUUUUGUCUUCCAGAUUACUGGCCUUUCACCUACUGUUGGGUACCAGUGGGUACCAGCCCACGCUCACCUAUCAUCCCCUGGAUGCAGCCUUUACUCAGUUCCAGCCAACCUCCUCCCUGGAACGCCCUCAAGGCAGGGCCAGCUCUACCGACCUUUGCCAGCAUGAAGCAGUUGCUGAGAUCUUCGCCCUUUACCUCAAAAGAUUUUGGGUCCCAUUUGUUUGA
rnacentral:lncRNA from 1 species